UGGGGAAUUAGCUCAGCUGGGAGAGCACCUGCUUUGCAAGCAGGAGGUCAGCGGUUCGAUUCCGCUAUUCUCCAU
rnacentral:tRNA from 1 species